GGAUAAUGCAAUAGGAAUGAAGUGUGCCUCCAUUUUAUUUUAUGUUUUAAAUGAAAAUGCUGGCUAUAGCAUGGAAAAUGGCAUUUAAUGUCAUUUAUAUCACAUGCUGGGAUGCAAGAACGGUAUGUUAGCUUGUAAGGCAGUCUUUAUAGAUCCUAGACAGCACAAAAUAGCAUGACUACGAAUG